CUUUAUUGGAGAGUUUGAUCCUGGCUCAGGACGAACGCUGGCGGCAUGCCUAAUACAUGCAAGUCGAGCGGACUUGAAAAGAAGCUUGCUUCUCUGAUGGUUAGCGGCGGACGGGUGAGUAACACGUAGGCAACCUGCCCUCAAGUUUGGGACAACUACCGGAAACGGUAGCUAAUACCGAAUAG
rnacentral:rRNA from 1 species